UGGUGGUGGGAUUAUUUGUAUUAGUACAGUACGCACAUUUCGUCCGUGUUUUCCCCACAGACGAGCCAUUAACUCAAGUUAAGAAGGAAACUGAAGCCUUUGCAGCCUGAAUGGAAGAUGUUUUUAUGUGCCAGCCGGUCCAUGGGGGCCAAUUGUAUUGCUGGCCGAAUACAUAAAAGUUGGACGUAAGAUGCCAAAAUAUGUAAAAGGCCGGAUGGGCUAGGCUAUAUAUGAACGGCGACAGCCUCCGCUCUCUCGGCCUUCUGCUAAAUGUACCUCUUGCCAUUCCUCUGCAUCGGUCGAGGAUCCUGACACUACUGUGACGACUGGCGAGGACGCGCUCUCUCGUUGUCCUCUCUGCGCGCUCCCGUGCCAUCUUCAGUUCCAGUAGCUGUAGCUUCCUCCGCAAUCCCCUGUUUUCUUUCUGGCUUUGAGUUAUUUCCAAACGAAACACUGCAUAGUCGUCGUCUACGACUUUACAGAUCUCUGCCACGGCUGCAUUCGCUAGAACCUCCACGAUGGAGGCUAUCUGAGUGUGAAAAACCAUACAGUUAACGUUAGCCAUUUUUAGCUAACCAGCAGCCAGAUAGCAUCUAUAAACAAAGACCCGGGACCAACGCGAAUUAAACACCACCUGGGGCUCUGGGGCCUGAGAAGAAGAGCAUCUUCGGACAGUAUUCUUUGCAAUGUUUCGGCAGUGAAGACCUGGAAACCCAAAAGCUCCAGUUUCUUUGUCUUUUUGUUUGUUUAUGCAGUACAAUUAAUCAUAUGUUCGAUAAACACACAAUUUUAAAUUGUAUGCAUUUUAGAAUAAGGCUGUAUAACGUAACAAAAUGGGGAAAAUGGGAAGGGGUAUGAAUACUUUGAAUGCACUGUACCUUUUGUUGUGAAUGCCCAUCCUGGUACUGUCUGUAUUGGUGGGGUAACCACGAGGUACUCUAAUUGAGGAAGGCUAGACCCAGGUUCAGGCCCAGACCUUCUAUGAACCCAGUCACGAGGCAUUAGAUGAGAAGCUGAAGGAGAAAACAGACUUCCUGAUAAACUACCACCAGGGGAGUCUCCCACCACUCUCUGUGAAGGCUGAAGUCCAGGGUGACCUGUUCUGGUCAUCCUGGAUACUGUGGUGUUUGCAUCAUAGGAAUAGGAGGGUCUCUCUCUAUCAGCCCCAGGUCCUGGGCUGCAGACUGGAUCCAUGACUGGAGCCUCUGUCUCUCUGAUGACCACCAGGACUGAGGUUGUUCAGUCCACCUGUCCACUGGUGGUGGUGAAGUCUCUCUCCCUAGUGGUUCGGUGCCAGGUCCGACUCAGGAAGGAAGAGAGAUGGCUCCUGAUCCAGUGUCCUGAUCCGGGGACAGGGUUUGUGACCAGCCACCUCAGAGGUCCAGUCUCUCCCACCAGCAACACCGAAUACAGGUCAGCAGGUCUUCAUGGACUGCAGACUGUAAACACAAAUUGUACAGAAAUGCAUAAAGGUUUAUAUUAAAAAACAAUGUUCUGUACACACAGAAACAUGAUAAUUAUAAAAUGUUAACCACA